GCUCAGGUAGUGUAGUGGUUAGCACGAGAGAUUUUGACGCAAACGUAUCAAACUUCUCUAAUCCCCGGUUCGAACCCGGGCCAGAGCU